rnacentral:rRNA from 1 species
GCGGAAGGAUCAUUAUUGAAUUAAUGUAGAGUUUGGUUGUAGCUGGCUCCUAAUUAAACUUGGGGGCAUGUGCACACCUUUCUCUUUCAUCCCAUACACACCUGUGCACCUGUGAGACAGAUGUUUUGUGGGGGGGAAGGAACUUUAUUGGACCUUCUACUCCCCCUUGACUUCUGUCUACUUAAUUCAUAUAAACUCAAUUUAUUUUAAAACGGAUGUAAUGGAUGUAACACAUCUAAUACUAAGUUUCAACAACGGAUCUCUUGGCUCUCGCAUCGAUGAAGAACGCAGCGAAAUGCGAUAAGUAAUGUGAAUUGCAGAAUUCAGUGAAUCAUCGAAUCUUUGAACGCACCUUGCGCUCCUUGGUAUUCCUUGGAGCAUGCCUGUUUGAGUAUCAUGAAAUCUUCAAAGUCAAACCUUUUGUUAAUUCAAUUGGUUCUGCUUUGGUAUUGGAGGAUUAUUGCAGCUUCACACCUGCUCCUCUUUGUGCAUUAGCUGGAUCUCAGUGUUAUGCUUGGUUCCACUCAGCGUGAUAAGUUAUCUAUCGCUGAGGACACCCUGUUAAAAAGGGGUGGCCAAGGUAAAUGCAGAUGAACCGCUUCUAAUAGUCCAUUGACUUGGACAAUAUCUAAUUUAUGAUCUGAUCUCAAAUCAGGUAG